rnacentral:tRNA from 1 species
GGGUUUUUAGCUCAGUUGGUAGAGCACCUGACUCUUAAUCAGGGUGUCCGGGGUUCGAGUCCCCGAAGACCCACCA